rnacentral:rRNA from 1 species
UACGAAGGGUGCAAGCGUUACUCGGAAUUACUGGGCGUAAAGCGUGCGUAGGUGGUUCGUUAAGUCUGAUGUGAAAGCCCUGGGCUCAACCUGGGAAUGGCAUUGGAAACUGGCGACCUAGAGUGCGGUAGAGGGUGGUGGAAUUCCCGGUGUAGCAGUGAAAUGCGUAGAGAUCGGGAGGAACAUCAGUGGCGAAAGCGGCUUCCUGGACCAGUACCGACGUUCAGGCACGAAAGCGUGGGGAGCAAACAGG